UACGUAGGGUGCGAGCGUUAAUCGGAAUUACUGGGCGUAAAGCGUGCGCAGGCGGUUUUGUAAGCCAGGUGUGAAAUCCCCGGGCUCAACCUGGGAAUGGCAUUUGGGACUGCAAGGCUGGAGUGCGGCAGAGGAGACUGGAAUUCCUGGUGUAGCAGUGAAAUGCGUAGAUAUCAGGAGGAAUACCGAUGGCGAAGGCGGGUCUCGUGGGCCGAUAUUGACGCUGAGGAGCGAAAGCGUGGGGAGCGAACAGG
rnacentral:rRNA from 1 species